AUCUUAUUCCAGCAGGAAAUCACACCUUAAAGUAACUGAUCCUGCCAAAUACUUCAUCAGUUUCCACUAAGAGGGAAAGUGGCAGGCAUGUUCCAUCAUAGAUCUUCCCAAACGUGUUGAAGUGAAAGAGGAAAAAAAUUAGAUGUGUUCAUCUUGUUCAUCAACACCUGUGUCCUACUGAGACGAUCUACAGCCAUCCUCUCUCCCCUUGGAAAUAAUAAAACCCUUAAGAAGUCUUUCUCCUCGCGUAACUGAGCAAACUCACCCCCGAGCACGGGUAGUGUAAGGAGGUAUACGAGAGCCAUCUAUGUGCUACCAGUGAUGUAUUUCACAGCACGGGAGGUGACCCUACUGCAUCAGCCUUCUGUUAGCAACCACC
rnacentral:lncRNA from 1 species